CCUACGGGGGGCAGCAGUCGAGAAUCAUUCACAAUGGGGGAAACCCUGAUGGUGCGACGCCGCGUGGGGGAAUGAAGGUCUUCGGAUUGUAAACCCCUGUCAUGUGGGAGCAAAUUAAAAAGAUAGUACCACAAGAGGAAGAGACGGCAAACUCUGUGCCAGCAGCCGCGGGAAUACAGAGGUCUCAAGCGUUGUUCGGAAUCACUGGGCGUAAAGCGUGCGUAGGCUGUUUCGUAAGGCGUGUGUGAAAGGCGCGGGCUCAACCCGCGGACGGCACAUGAUACUGCGAGACUAGAGUAAUGGAGGGGGAACCGGAAUUCUCGGUGUAGCAGUGAAAUGCGUAGAUAUCGAGAGGAACACUCGUGGCGAAGGCGGGUUCCUGGACAUUAACUGACGCUGAGGCACGAAGGCCAGGGGAGCGAAAGGGAUUAGAUACCCGAGUAGUC
rnacentral:rRNA from 1 species